GAAGAGGCGAAACAAACAAACAAACAAAAUGGAGUACGGCCUGCACACUAUGAGAACAACAACCGCCUCAGCGAAAGUGCAGUCUCAUUGAGACCGCUUCAUUUCCAAGAAGCAGAAGUUAAAGACAUUUCCUAAAAAAAAAAAAAAAAAAAAGGCUGCGGCCUGUGGUUAUCAGGAGAGGCCAGACCGAGGGUCAAGAGCUUGUAACUAUUGUUCGAACCCUAUAUCUGUUGUGUGGCGUGUAAACCCUAUAAAAACCCUUUCCUACUGAGCACCAGGGUCGCCUCCUCUGACUCCUGCGUGAGUUACGAGACGACCCGGAGCUCCGAAAUAAACCUCACCUCGUGCGUUUGCAUCAAGUCGGCUCCUCGUUUUCCUCUGAGGUGCGCGUCUGCCUGGGUAGAGGAAAGCUUCGCCUUUCAUUUGGGGGCUCGUCCGGGAUCAACGACGAACACCUCAGGAAACGAUGACCCCUUGGAGCACGCCUAAAAGCGUUGGAAGUAGUUAGAAAAGAAGUUUGGGAACAGUUGAAGAACCUCUACGACCCAGGCGAGGUGUCGAUGCCCCAUUCGUUCCAGGUCGGAGACAAAGUUCUGAUUAGACGACACCGAUCAGAGACGCUCGAACCUCGGUGGAAGGGACCGUAUGUGGUAUUGUUAACAACUCCCACCGCUGUAAAAGUCGAUGGGAUUACUGCGUGGGUACAUUCAGCGCAUGUAAAAGGGCACCUAGAGAUAUACAAAAGGAUGAUUGGGUGGUGGAAAAGACUGAUAAUCCUCUUAAGCUUCGUGUGUUUCGGAAACCAAACCGAAACACCUAGGGAAAAUCUGUUGGUGGGACUAAUCCGAGAUUUCGGGAAGGCCCAAAAUGCAACCAGUAUCACUGCUUGUUUACCAUUACCACAAGCAGCUGGGGAGCCUAUUCCGUGGGGUAUAAUCCCGGCGGGACCACUACCAAAAUAUAAAAAUAAUGUAAUCUUUAUUUCUUAUAAGUGUGUUUUAGGACUGUGCCUAAAGGGGUGGAAGAAGACUCCAAAAUGACAUCCAUAAUGUUAUAAGCAUAGAAUAGAAAUAUAAUGUUAGUAAGUGUUAGUCCUGACCACUGGCCUGGCCUCUCCAGAAAUUCUAAGAUUAGAAAUGUACAAAAGAAAAAGAGGGGAAUGAGAAGAGGCGAAACAAACAAACAAACAAAAUGGAGUACGGCCUGCACACUAUGAGAACAACAACCGCCUCAGCGAAAGUGCAGUCUCAUUGAGACCGCUUCAUUUCCAAGAAGCAGAAGUUAAAGACAUUUCCUAAAAAAAAAAAAAAAAAAAAGGCUGCGGCCUGUGGUUAUCAGGAGAGGCCAGACCGAGGGUCAAGAGCUUGUAACUAUUGUUCGAACCCUAUAUCUGUUGUGUGGCGUGUAAACCCUAUAAAAACCCUUUCCUACUGAGCACCAGGGUCGCCUCCUCUGACUCCUGCGUGAGUUACGAGACGACCCGGAGCUCCGAAAUAAACCUCACCUCGUGCGUUUGCAUCAA